rnacentral:rRNA from 1 species
AGAUUGAACGCUUGGCGGCAUGCUUUUACACAUGCAAGUCGAACGGGCAGCACGGGGGGCAACCCUGGUGGCGAGUGGCGAAACGGGUGAGUAAUGCAUCGGAACGUAUCCUUGAGUGGGGGAUAACGCAGCGAAAGUUGUGCUAAUACCGCAUAAGCUCUGAGGAGGAAAGCGGGGGACCGAAAGGCCUCGCGCUGAAGGAGCGGCCGAUGUCCGAUUAGCUAGUUUGGUGAGGUAAAGGCUUACCAAGGCGACGAUCGGUAGCUGGUCUGGAGAGGAUGAUC